rnacentral:rRNA from 1 species
UGGCUAUCACUCUGGGAUGGACCUGCGGUGCAUUAGCUAGUUGGUAAGGUAACGGCUUACCAAGGCGAUGAUGCAUAGCCGAGUUGAGAGACUGAUCGGCCACAAUGGAACUGAGACACGGUCCAUACUCCUACGGGAGGCAGCAGUAGGGAAUCUUCCACAAUGGGCGCAAGCCUGAUGGAGCAACACCGCGUGAGUGAAGAAGGGUUUCGGCUCGUAAAGCUCUGUUGUUGGAGAAGAACGUGCGUGAGAGUAACUGUUCACGCAGUGACGGUAUCCAACCAGAAAGUCACGGCUAACUACGUGCCAGCAGCCGCGGUAAUACGUAGGUGGCAAGCGUUAUCCGGAUUUAUUGGGCGUAAAGCGAGCGCAGGCGGUUGCUUAGGUCUGAUGUGAAAGCCUUCGGCUUAACCGAAGAAGUGCAUCGGAAACCGGGCGACUUGAGUGCAGAAGAGGACAGUGGAACUCCAUGUGUAGCGGUGGAAUGCGUAGAUAUAUGGAAGAACACCAGUGGCGAAGGCGGCUGUCUGGUCUGCAACUGACGCUGAGGCUCGAAAGCAUGGGUAGCGAACAGGAUUAGAUACCCUGGUAGUCCAUGCCGU